UAAAAAACCUGUGGCUGGAGAUAACCACUAUAGCAUUUGGGUGUAUAUUGUUCCAGGUUUUUUUUUGGGGGGGGGGGGGUUGGCAUUGGUUUAUAAAAGAUGAUUCUAUUUAACCUUUUUUAACUAUUUCCAUGUCAAAUUUUGUUAAACUUCUAGGAAAGAUUGUAUAGUAUACUUGUCAGCAAUUCUAAAAUCCAUUCCAGUUUCUGCCAUGUUAAAAUGGUGGGGACGGGAUCGUCCACCAUAGAAAUUGACGGCAUAUGACAGUUUAAUUAGCAAAUUUUUCUUCUCAGAACAUAAAGUAAUGGUGUGUCCUAAAACUGGUGGAAUCUUAGAUUCCAUGAAAUUGAGUGUUUUAUUAUAUAGAUUAUGAUAUAAUCAGGUCCUUCCUGAAGGACAUUUAGGGCCUCUCUCCAUUUUAAUCUGUGGUGUGAUCAAUCGUUUAUCCCACUUAAUGAUAUUUAUACUGUUCUUUGGUCUACAGUGCUAGGAGUUGGAGUUACUUAUUCAAAUUUUGCUGAAUAUUACUGCCCAACUGCCUCCAGAUAGGAGCCAGCUAACAUUCCUGGUGUGAGCACCAGUUUCUCUGAUUAAUACUGGCUUGAUUUUUCUCUUGAUUUUGCUAGUUUGAUAAGUGAAAAACGGUAUUUAACUUUCAUUUCUUUGAUUACAGGUAAUUUUUUUUUUCAUGUUUCUUGGGCAAUGGAGUUUGCUCAGUCCAUUUUUCUUUAGUGUAUGUGUUUUGCAAACGUUUUAAUUACUGGAGAUUUAUUCUAAUUAAUCUAGGUUGUGAUGUAACGAUCUAACUUCUUUCCACUGACAGCCAAAUUGACUGAAUUGCUAUCUGUUAUUAGUGGAAAGAAGAGACCUUUCCUCAUCUCUUAUUCUAGAGAAGUGAUUUAUUUCAGAGUUCACUUAUAAGCCUUUCAUAGUGGAUAAUGUGAAUGUCCAGGAGUUCUGCAGGUUAGGAAAAGAAAAAUGGGUCUCUUUGGAGGGUUUAGCUGCAAUAUUGGAACAGAUCACAACUGUAUCAGAUGAAGGAAAAAGCCUAGUGAGUGGAGAAAAACCAAGAAUCAAACAUAAAGAGAUUGACUAGAAUAGAAUGUGCCUAGCUUGGCUUGUCUUUCACUGGCCUCAGGGCAUUGGUGAAUUGCAGCUGUGGGCUAUUAAUGGCAGCUGAGAAAUUAGGACAGAAUGGAAGGGAAAAGUCAGUAAAAGGGAAAGAACUAGCUAACACUAGUUCGACUUUAUUGCCAAAAAGAAUGGUAGAGGUCCAGGAAGUAGAAUCUCUGACUUUUGGCAAGGAGGGCCCUUUCGAGGAGCAAUUUAAGAGAAGGAUCUCUACACAAGAAUUAGUGGUGGAGAUUCCCAUGAAUGCACUAAGAGAACUUGGACUCUAUUUGUAGUAGUUAGGUCUCAGAGAAUUAAGGAAUUUGGUGUGUUUCAAAAGAGUAGAGAUUUUUGGGUUGGCUUUGCGAAUGUACAGGAGUGAGGAUUAAGAUCAAAGCUAAUUUUCCUGAGUAAUGAAAACUGGGUAUAUGAAUAUACAUGAGCCCCACCUAGUCCUGGUUAAAGGAGGCAACCUGAUUUGGUAUUUUGACUGCAUCUGCAGGAUAAGGGGAUUGUGAAGACUACUACCUGGCAAGGUUGGAACAGUUACCGGUCCUCUUGUUUGUGAAAAGGUUACUUUAUCUGGUAGAGUGAGCAGCCAAAGGCAUGGUCAAAGAGGGCUUUUUAAAAAAACCACUGCUACAUGUAUUAUAUAGCAAUGUCGUUAGUGAACAGUUGUGUAGAGUGUUGGGAAUGAAGAACAAACUCAGUAGCCCCGGUAAAGAGGAAGCAGGCACAAUGAGACUGGCUUCUGGAAUUGAAGGAACAAGGUGAAAGCAGUAGCAGAUGAUGGUUCUUUUUAUCGAUAGCCUACUAUGAACCAGGUGUGCUGGGGAAGCAAAUUACCAUCAUUCUUGCCUUCAAGUUAUUUAGUCCAGUAGAGAAAGUAAAUGGUAUGGACAUCAUAAUUACGAAAGCAUUGAGGGAAUGAGAGCUCUGUGGUCUUAGAAGGAUCCUCUAGGAGUCAAGGAAUUUUCUUUUAAAUUUUUUUUUUUUUUUGUAUUUUUUAGGAAAACAAAUGCAAUAUCCUCUUGGGAAAGGAAAAGCGCCUAGGGGGUAAUGAGAUGGGAGCUGGGUGUUGGGUCCAAGCGGGGAGGGGAUGAAUGACUAAGAAUGGGUACCAGGCAAUCAGAAAAUCAGAGAUAGGUAAAGCAGGAAUUGUAAAAGAAGUUGCCUCCCAUUGUCAAGAGGUGAUAGGUUAACCAGCUUCUGAGGGGGUGGCCUUGUUGUAUGACUCAUUGUAAACAACAGGGACCACAUCGUGGGUAUAGACAAACCAACUCUGAAACUGCUGAGAUGCAAGGAACGAUGUGCAAGGGUGCUCCUCAACACCUAAAUAGAAUAGAGAUGGAAAGAAGGAUCUGCUUUUCAAAGAAAGCCUGAGGAAACUAUAUUAUAUCUGGAAUGGCAGGAAGCCUAGAUAAACAUGAAUAAGCAAAUAUUCAGGAGUUCAAUUUCUAGAGCUCUGAGGGACAUCUGGUAAACCACCGCUGUCUUGGUGCCAGUGUUUGGGUUGGGGUCAAGGUCCAGGGCUUAACAGGGAUUUAAGAAAAAGGUUCUUGGACUUUCAUCUUGUUAUUUUGGGAAGGGUACUAUUAGCAUUUUAAAAGACUUCCCUACCAUCUUGCAGAAGGGCCUGUAGUGAAGGGAUAGAGGCAGUGAUGGGAUAGGGGAAGGGGCCACAGCUUUAAAUGAGUAAAACAUGUAUCAUGUUCCAAGUUCAUGCUGGGAAAAAGAGAAGUAUCUUCUGGGCUCAACUUCAGCUGUCUGAGGACCAGCUCAGUCUUCCUGAGGAAGGAAAACAGGAUGCCUUGGAGAGAAGGGGAUGACACGAGUUUAAGUAACCUUGGUGGUUUGGGUCUUAGACCCCAAGACAGCCCUCAUUCUGAAGGCAACAGCUGCUGCAGCAGAAGGAAGAGGAAACAAGGUGUCAGCCUUUGGGCCACUACUUUCCAAGACACUGGAUUUCAGAGAAGGGAAGCUGUUGGCCCAGGUUCUUUACAGCGGCUUUGUUUAACUCUCCACCAUCAAGCUACUCUUGAUUCACUGAAAUAGAGUGAAGACAAAAUAAAAUAGGAAAAAGGUACAUUUGUGUAGGUAUUUGAAGAAGUCCUGGCUAUUGUGGGAGGCCUUUUAUAUUGGUGUUCACCAGCGUUUUUUAUGUCCUCAUCUGUAAAAUUGGGUUGAUCUGUUUUGAAAAUUCAUAUUCUUUAUAUUCUGUCAUUUAGAUCUGUGCCCUCCAAUACAGUAGCCACUAGCCAAGUGUGACUAAUUACAAUCAAAAUCCAAUUCCUCAGUCAUACUACUACACACAUUACAAAGUGGUCAGUAGCCAAUGUGGUUCAUGUCUACUGCACUGAACAGUGAAGAACUAUAGAAAACAUUUCUAUCUUAGUUCUGUUGGGUGCUACUGACCUAGGUAUAUGACCUGUUAUAGAGCUACUUUAUGAAUAGUUGUACAUGAACCUGUCCCCUGGACUGUUAGUGAUUGCUAGUAAGAGCCUUGGUUUCUACUUUAUCCUUUCCCUUUACUGGCCAACAUAGCCAAGAAAGUUGUAGGAACUCAGAUUGUAGAUGCACAUGGUGUACAGGUGACCCUUGAACAACAUAGAUUUGAACUGUGUGGGUCUAUUUAGGUGGAUUUUCUUCAGUGAAUAUAAUAGAGUACUAAAGGAAUACUUAAGUACUAUACAUAAGGAAUAUGAUUUUCUUAACAUUUUCUCUAGCUUUAUUGUAUGAAUACAGUAUAUAAUACAUAUACAAAAUAUGUCAUCAGUAAGAGUGGUCAAAAGGCCAACAGUAGUUAACUUUUUGAGAAGUCAAAAAGAUAUGCUGAUUUAAGCCUGUGCCCCUAACCCUCACAUUGUUCAAUGGUUAACUAUGAUCCUAAGGCUCUGGAGAAGGCAAGUUGAGGUAUCUGGGCUACAGCCAAUUCUCAGUCCCCAAGAUUUCACCCCGAGCUGCCUGUCUGCCCUCUAGUUGCAAACAUGCCUGAUGGCAGCACCCAGAGGUGAUGACUGGGGAGGUGGGGGACACUGCAGGCUUCACCACUCAGAGCAUGAGGGAGCUGCACCCCAUCUUUAACCGAUCCAGAGUCAGCUUCUUGUCACAGGAGAAGGUGAGUGGGUGAAGGGAACUUGAAGGGAAAACAGAAAGACAGAUGUGCUGAGGCUCCAAUUCUUCCAGAGAGUCAGUUACAGGAUCCUCAUGUGAAGGGAGAUACUCUAUGUUAGAGGGUAAGUAUCCCUCAUGUGUGGGAAGGUAGUCCACUGAGAGGACUGUCAAGGGGCUGGUUAGGUGUUCUGGCUUUGAGUCAGGGCCCCUGCUCCCCAGCAUCUUGUACAGAUCCACUAGUUGUCCUGUCUCUGCUAUGAGAGCUUUUGGAGGUGGUAGGCUUGGGGCACUAUAUGCUGCGUCUUCCUCAGAGGUAUAGUGACCUUGGACUCCUCGUCCCUUGUCUGGCCAGUUGGGGUGAUGGGGAUGUCUGAAGACUGGGGUCACUUGAAGGACUUCAUUGAUGACCAGGAGUUCAGGUUCUUCAGGAUUGGACCAGUCUGUCAGGAGCCUGUCCGAGGGUAGCUGUGUCUUCUGAGAAAGGGGAAGAAGAGGCUCAUACAUUAUGUAAGUAGCCCUUGACAACUGACUUCUCCAGGGUUCUGAAAGGCCUUGCUGCCUGCACUGCCUAGUUGGCUUGAGAAGGGACACUGUGGGCCCUUGACUUUGUGACAGGUUUGAAGACGUUAACAUUGAGGAAGACAGGAGCCAUGAACUCCUCAAACCCACCACCCACCCCUCAAGCCAAUGAGUGACUCACUACCCAGCUCAACCUUCAACCAGACUGAUGAGUCCAACUGCACUAGCUCUUUAUCUAGGAUAGAGGGCAGGGUGGGUGCAAAGGAAGGCUGAGCUUGCUCCUGUCUGGGGCAGGCAGCAGGGAAGACUUUCAGAGUCACACUAGAGCUGAAUCUUAAAAGAUACUUCCCAGGUAUGGAGGUAAUGGGCAAGGACUGAUCUGCUCUGGAACCUGCUAGUUCUUUUGAUAGGCAAACUGAGGCUAGGAUAGGAAAUCUGAGGUCACGUGAUGAAUUUUUUUUAGGGUUUUUAGGGUUGUUAAUGAGUAUGGGCUUUGAUGAAAGGUUGAGGGUAAUACUCUAUCAGUUCUGCUCUUAAGAACCCAGAGUAACUUUUGGAAAAAUGUUCAUUCUUUUUUCCUGCAUGGCUAAUUUUGUCUGUCUUCUGUCUUCUCUUUGUCAGCAUCACAUCAGUUAUCAGCUCUUCAGUGUCCUCUCCUUUCCAAACUAACUGCGGAUUCCUGAGUCCAAGCCCAAGCACUUUGAUAACAUUUCUCUUUCUAGGCUUUAUUGGGCUCUACCUACACCCUAAAAACUAUCACACUGAUAAUUCUAAAGCAGAGUUCCAAAGCCUUUAUCAAUUCAGACUCACAACUGCAGUGAAGCCACUAGCCCUUAGUUUGGUAGUCAGGUUCCUGCACCUUCCUCUACCUCUCCAAGUUUCCAUUCAGAAACGAUUUCAGGUACACCUCAGUGUGCUUCCACUGCUAGCCUCCACCCUGCUCUGUUUGCUGCACCAUUUCCUGCUUGAUGCUCUUCCUCCCUCAUGAAGCCACGACUGAUUGUUUCCUACCCUGGACUCCUAGAGCAGCAAAGAAACCACCAUCAGGUUCUUGGCACAUGAUGAUUUAUACUGUCACUUUUUUUUUUAAACAUGUUCAUAAACCAUCUACAAAUGGGGAUCAUUCAUGAGAGAAGUAGGAUGACAAAAAAUACCCUUGGGACAGGAAAAACCUGAGGACUAGUCUCAACUCUGAUACUCUACAGCUUGGGGAAACUCCAUCAACCUCUGGCCUUUGGUUCCCUCAUCUGUCAAAUGCCAAGUUGUGUAAGAGUGGUUUGGUUUGGAUUGGCCUCUGAUGUCUGCUGCUUUCCUUGAGCACGGCAAGCAUCCAACAAAUGAAUGGUGGUGCUGUCUCAGGACAGCCUUCUGUAAAGGACACUGACAAACUAGAGCAUUUCUUCUAGGUUUCUAUGGGCCCUUCAUAGGCCCUGCAUGCCUCUGUAUCUCCUCAUGCCCAGGCAGAGGCAAACAGAGACCAUGAUGCCAAAGCUGCAAGUUUGGGAGCCAGGUGUCCGGGACUGACCCAGAGAGAUGCUUCCCACUGUGCUAUUUCAGGCUCUUAGGACAUGGGACUGUGGAAUCUCAGCAUUGGAAGAGAGAGAUCUUAAAGCUCAGCUGAUUCAGCUUCUGGUACCUGAAUCCCCUCUGACACCAGCAACGGCAUCCUUAUCGAGUGCAUGCCCAUAGGUCAUCAGAAGAUUGCAACCAAAUGCAUUGCACACUUAAUAGACUGCAGUGUAGUAUAAACAUAACUUUAUAUGUACUGGGAAACCUAAAAAUUCAUUUGAUUUUAUUGCAAUACUUGCUUUGCUGCUGUGGUUCAAAACCAAACCUGCAAUAAAUCUGAAGUAUACCUGUAUAUAUGUAUAUAUAAACAUGAAUAUAUUAAAUAAUACAAUUGUAUCAUGUAUAUGACAUGAUGUAAAAAAUAUAUAAUUAAAUAUAA